rnacentral:rRNA from 1 species
AUUGAACGCUGGCGGCAUGCCUUACACAUGCAAGUCGAACGGCAGCGCGGGGCAACCUGGCGGCGAGUGGCGAACGGGUGAGUAAUAUAUCGGAACAUGCCCAGAAGUGGGGGAUAACGUAGCGAAAGUUACGCUAAUACCGCAUACGAUCUACGGAUGAAAGUGGGGGACCGCAAGGCCUCAUGCUUUUGGAGUGGCCGAUAUCUGAUUAGCUAGUUGUGGGGUAAAGGCCUACCAAGGCGACGAUCAGUAGCUGGUCUGAGAGGACGACCAGCCACACUGGAACUGAGACACGGUCCAGACUCCUACGGGAGGCAGCAGUGGGGAAUUUUGGGACAAUGGGGGCAACCCUGAUCCAGC